CCCUUAGACGUCCUGGGCCGCACGCGCGUUACACUGAUGCAUUCAACGAGCUUGUAACCUUGGCCGAGAGGCCUGGGCAAUCUUGUUAACGUGCAUCGUGGUAGGGAUAGAUUAUUGAAAUUAUUAAUCUUGAACGAGGAAUUCCUAGUAAACGCAGAUCAUCAAUCUGCAUUGACUACGUCCCUGCCCUUUGUACACACCGCCCGUCGCUACUACCGAUUGAAUGGUUUAGUGAGGACUCCUGAUUGGCGCCGCCGCCCCGGCAACGGAGCAGCGGACUGCCGAAAAGUUGUUCAAACUUGAUCAUUUAGAGGAAGUAAAAGUCGUAACA
rnacentral:rRNA from 1 species